AUCACUAAGCGGAGGAAAAGAAACUAACAAGGAUGGCCCUAGUAACGGCGAGUGAAGCGGCCAAAGCCCAAGAUGGUAAUCUCUGUUUUACAGCGAAUUGUAAUCUUGAGUAUCAAUUCUAAUAUAGAUUUGAUGUGUAAGUGUCUCAGAAACAGACCACCAAAGAGGGUGAAAGUCCCGUACAUAAUAUCAAAUCUUAAAAAGAAUGAAUACAAAGAGUCGGGUUGUUUGGUAUUGCAGCCCUAAGUGGGAGAUAAACUUCUUCUAAGGCUAAAUAUAUAUGGGAAACCGAUAGCGAACAAGUACUGUGAAGGAAAGAUGAAAAGCACUUUGGAAAGAGAGUCAAAAGACCUGAAACCGUUGAGAAGGAAGCAGUAGAGAUGAAUUCUACAAUUAGCACUGGGAAAUAGAUCUAACCUUUACUAAGGGGAAAUCUAAUACUUGUGCAAAGUUGUGAGACCGGAUGGGAUGAUAUGAUAAUAAAACUAUUUUGUAACUGAUUGCUCUCGGGUAAUAUUACAUUAUACUCAUUAUUAUAUCUUCUGAGGGUGCUUCGUGCGAUCCGGUCAAAAUGGUCUUUACUGACUCGUCUUGAAACACGAACCAAGGAGUCUAACGUACAUGCGAGUAUGCCGGUGGAAAAACCGAUAUGCGAAAUGAAAGUGAUUGAUGCCAAGGAAACAGCAGCAUCGACCGACCAUGAUCCUCUGGAGAAAGGUUUGAGUAUGAGCAUGUCCGAUAGGACCCGAAAGAUGGUGAACUAUGCCUGUGUAGGGUGAAGUCAGGGGGAACUCUGAUGGAAGCUCGUAGCGGUACUGACGUGCAAAUCGUUCGUCGAACAUGGGUAUAGGGGCGAAAGACUAAUCGAACCAUCUAGUAGCUGGUUCCCUCCGAAGUUUCCCUCAGGAUAGCUGGGACAAUUGCGCAGUUUUAUUAGGUAAAGCGAAUGAUUAGAGGAAUCGGGGGCUACAUGCUCUCGACCUAUUCUCAAACUUUAAAUUGGUAAGAACCCGGGCCUUCCUUAAGUGAGGCGUCGGGGCUCAAUGCGUGUCCUUAGUGGGCCAUUUUUGGUAAGCAGAACUGGCGAUGAGGGUUGCUCCUAACGUUGAGAUAAGGCGCCAAACUACGCGCUCAUCAGAUACUAUAAAGGGUGUUGGUCCAUCUAGACAGCAGGACGGUGGCCAUGGAAGUCGGAAUCCGCUAAGGAGUGUGUAACAACUCACCUGCCGAAUGGACUAGUCCCGAAAAUGGAUGGCGCUCAAGCGCGUGGCCGAUACUCAACCAUUGAUAUGAAAGUUAGAUAUCAAUGAGUAGGAGGGCGUGGGCGUUGUUUUGAAGCCUCUGGCGUGAGCCUGGGUUGAACAGCGUCUAGUGCAGAUCUCGGUGGUAGUAGCAAUUAUUCAAAUGAGAAUUUUGAAGGCCGAAGUGGAGAAGGUUUCCGUGAGAACAGCAAUUGGUCACGGGUGACUCGAUCCUAAGACAUGGGGGAAACCCCUGUUAAGUGUACGAUUGUACUUGGUCGAAAGGGAAUAAGGUUAAUAUUCCUUAAGCUGGAUGUGGAUGUUGUAUGGCAACAUAAAUGAGCCUGGGAACGCCGGCAUGAGUCUCUGGAAGAGUUAUCUUUUCUUUUUAACAAUCUAGUGACCCUGAAAUGGGAUUAUCCCGAGAUAGGGUGACAAGUUUGGAAGAGCGCCUCGCUUUCCGAGGCGUCAGGUGCACUCAUGACGGUCCUUGAAAACCCAGGUGAGAUAGUUUCGCACCAGGUCGUACCCACAACCGC
rnacentral:rRNA from 1 species